rnacentral:lncRNA from 1 species
UAACUUAAUAACUGUAAUAUGUGUUCUGAUUGUUCCACUAAUGUCAUUCCCUAUCUCUCUUCCUCUCCCUCAGGCCUCCCUAUUCCCUGAGACCCAGCAAUAUUGAAGUUAGGUCAAUUAAUAAGCCAACAGUGACCUUCAAGUAUUCAAGCCAAAGGAAGAGUCUAUCAAUGGGGCAAACUUCAUUGUUGUCUUAUAUUAAGAAAUUGCUACAAUCCAUUGCAACCUUUACCAAUCACCCAGCUGAUUAGUCAGAAGCAAGACCCUGAAUCAACAAAAAGAUUCCUACUCCCUGAAGGCUCAAACGAUGCUUCUCUCUCUUCCUUGACACUUAUCUGCAGUACCCAGCAUGGACACCAUCAAUGUUCUCAUUAAAUUAAAUUAUGAACCCAGUCCUACUCCCCUCUGCAGAGAAUGAAGUAUAAGGGAGACUGGGAGGUGAAUUUAUGCCUCCAUGUGUUGGGAAGAAGUUCAGGAAAAGUGGAGAGAAUGAAUAAAGAACUAAAACCAAUAAUUGGUAAAUUAUGUGUAGAAACACACUUGAAAUGGCCUGAUAUUUUGCCAUUAGCUUUAUUUUACCUAAGAACUAGACCAAGAGGAGAUUUGCACAUAUCACCAUAUGAAAUGUCAUUUUGACUUCCACCCAUACAAGCAAAGACAUUUAGCUCUAUUUAUGCCUCAAUGUUAACUGGUAACACGAUAAUUGAAGAAUAUAUUAGAGAUUUGCAGAUUAAGAUCAAGGAAUUAUAAGAAUUAGGACCAAUAGUGCAAACAAGGACCUAUAGACUUUUUGUUUCCUGAUCUACAUCCUGGGGAUACAGUGUAUGUAAAGAACUUUCAAUGCACUGGAGGAACUCAGCCAGUCUGGGAAGGUCCAUUUUAAGUACUCUUGACAAUCCCUACAACCAUCAAGAUAGGAGAAAAAACAGCAUGGAUACAUUGUUCAAAUGUGAAAAAGGGACCUGCCAUCUAAAAUGAUUAGCUGCAUACAUAGAGGACAAGACUACAGAUACAACUGGACAUUUUUUAAAGGACUUUGAAAUUCAAGAAGACUACAAAUGGACAAUUGGACAAUAUUUACAAGAACACUCCAUUACUACAAGGACUACUACAAAUGGACAUAAGUUUAAGGAUAUUGAACUUUGCACUUAAAUAAAGGUUUCUCAUACAUAAAGGUUUGAAAUGGA